rnacentral:rRNA from 1 species
UCGAGAAUCUUCCACAAUGGGCGAAAGCCUGAUGGAGCGACACCGCGUGCAGGAUGAAGGCCCUAGGGUUGUAAACUGCUGUCACGCUAUAGGAACCCACGGUGGUGAAUAGUCAUCGUGCUGACUAAAGCGAGAGGAAGCGCCGGCUAACUCCGUGCCAGCAGCCGCGGUAAUACGGAGGGCGCAAGCGUUGUUCGGAUUCACUGGGCAUAAAGAGCACGUAGGCGGCUCGCUCAGUCGGGUGUGAAAGCCCACGGCCCAACCGUGGAACUGCACCCGAUACUGGCGAGCUCGAGGACGGAAGGGGUGAGUGGAACUCCAGGUGGAACGGUGAAAUGUAUAGAUAUCUGGAGGAACACCGGUGGCGAAAGCGGCUCACUGGUCCGUCUCUGACGCUGAGGUGCGAAAGCUAGGGUAGCGAACGGGAUUAGAUACCCCUGUAGUCC